rnacentral:rRNA from 1 species
CCCUUAGAUGUUCUGGGCCGCACGCGCGCUACACUGAUGCAUUCAACGAGUUUCUUCCUGGUCCGAGAGGAAUGGGUAACCUUUUGAAAGUGCAUCGUGAUAGGGAUAGACUAUUGCAAUUAUUGGUCUUCAACGAGGAAUUCCUAGUAGACGUAGUUCAUCAGACUGCAUCGAUUACGUCCCUGCCCUUUGUACACACCGCCCGUCGCUCCUACCGAUUGAAUGCUCAGGUGAGCCGUUCGGACUUUCAUCAUGCUGGUUUCCAGUUUUGAUGAAGGAAAGUCUUGCGAACCUUAUCAUUUAGAGGAAGGAGAAGUCGUAACA